UUCGGGGUGAGCGGCGGACGGGUGAGUAACGCGUGGGAAUAUGCCCUUCUCUAAGGAAUAGCCUCGGGAAACUGAGAGUAAUACCUUAUACGCCCUACGGGGGAAAGAUUUAUCGGAGAAGGAUUAGCCCGCGUUAGAUUAGGUAGUUGGUGGGGUAAUGGCCUACCAAGCCUACGAUCUAUAGCUGGUUUGAGAGGAUGAUCAGCCACACUGGGACUGAGACACGGCCCAGACUCCUACGGGAGGCAGCAGUAGGGAAUCUUAGACAAUGGGGGAAACCCUGAUCUAGCCAUGCCGCGUGUGUGAUGAAGGCCUUAGGGUCGUAAAGCACUUUCGCCAGAGAUGAUAAUGACAGUAUCUGGUAAAGAAACCCCGGCUAACUCCGUGCCAGCAGCCGCGGUAAUACGGAGGGGGUUAGCGUUGUUCGGAAUUACUGGGCGUAAAGCGCACGUAGGCGGAUUAGUAAGUUAGAGGUGAAAUCCCAGGGCUCAACCCUGGAACUGCCUUUAAUACUGCUAGUCUUGAGUU
rnacentral:rRNA from 1 species